rnacentral:rRNA from 1 species
UAGGGAAUCUUCGGCAAUGGGGGGAACUCUGACCGAGCAACGCCGCGUGAGUGAAGAAGGUUUUCGGAUCGUAAAGCUCUGUUGUUAAGGAAGAACGAGUGUGAGAAUGGAAAGUUCAUGCUGUGACGGUACUUAACCAGAAAGGGACGGCUAACUACGUGCCAGCAGCCGCGGUAAUACGUAGGUCCCGAGCGUUGUCCGGAUUUAUUGGGCGUAAAGCGAGCGCAGGCGGUUAGAAAAGUCUGAAGUGAAAGGCAGUGGCUCAACCAUUGUAGGCUUUGGAAACUGUUUAACGUGAGUGCAGAAGGGGAGAGUGGAAGUCCAUGUGUAGCGGUGAAAUGCGUAGAUAUAUGGAGGAACACCGGUGGCGAAAGCGGCUCUCUGGUCUGUAACUGACGCUGAGGCUCGAAAGCGUGGGGAGCGAACAGG